rnacentral:rRNA from 1 species
UACGUAGGGCGCAAGCGUUGUCCGGAAUUAUUGGGCGUAAAGAGCUCGUAGGCGGUUUGUCGCGUCUGCUGUGAAAACCUAAGGCUCAACCUUGGGCUUGCAGUGGGUACGGGCAGACUAGAGUGCGGUAGGGGAGACUGGAAUUCCUGGUGUAGCGGUGAAAUGCGCAGAUAUCAGGAGGAACACCGGUGGCGAAGGCGGGUCUCUGGGCCGUAACU